UCGAGGUAGCUGCGAGGCAGGGUCAAGUCAGCGUAGGUAGAUCCAGCUGGAGCAGAUGAUGAGCCCUGCAGUGAGACAAUCCAGAGUCAUGGAUCAUCGAGAGCCUAUGCAGCAGAGGGAUGACUCGGUCCAGCCGUGAUUUAAUUCACAAUCUCCCUUAUCCACUUGUAUUUUGAUUUUUUUUUUUUUUCCCAUUUUUUACUAGCCGGCCCAUCAUGUAAUAUUCAAGCUUCAAGCCAUUGUACAAGAACAAAGAAAAUUAUAAAUGUAUCCUAUAGAGAAUGAUGGAGAUGAUUUUACAGCUUUUCCAGGCAUUUCAUUGUUAAGGUUUAUGAUGGAGAUGAUUUAUGAGUUUCACUA